CCCUUAGAUGUCCUGGGCCGCACGCGUGCUACACUGACGCAUACAGCGAGCACUUUCCAGUUCCGAGAGGCUACUGGUAAUCAUCAAUAUGCGUCGUGAUGGGGAUAGAUCUUUGGAAUUCUGGAUCUUGAACGAGGAAUGCCUAGUAAUCGCAGGUCAUUAGCCUGCGAUGAUUAAGUCCCUGCCCUUUGUACACACCGCCCGUCGCUACUACCGAUUUCGAGUGGUCAGGUGAAUCUUUCGGACUGUGGGCGCCCUUGAGGUGUUCGCGGAAGGUCAGGUAAAUCUUAUCACUUAGAGGAAGUAAAAGUCGUAACA
rnacentral:rRNA from 1 species